rnacentral:rRNA from 1 species
UGGGGAAUAUUGGGCAAUGGGCGAAAGCCUGACCCAGCGACGCCGCGUGAAGGAAGAAGGCCCUCGGGUUGUAGACUUCAGUCAACAGGGAAGAAACAAAUGACGGUACCUGUGGAGGAAGCCACGGCUAACUACGUGCCAGCAGCCGCGGUAAUACGUAGGUGGCAAGCGUUAUCCGGAUUUACUGGGUGUAAAGGGUGUGUAGGCGGGUCUGCAAGUCAGAUGUGAAAACUAUGGGCUCAACUCAUAGCUUGCAUUUGAAACUGUGGAUCUUGAGUGUCGGAGAGGUAAAUGGAAUUCCCGGUGUAGAGGUGAAAUUCGUAGAUAUCGGGAGGAACACCAGUGGCGAAGGCGGUUUACUGGACGAUUACUGACGCUGAGACACGAAAGUGUGGGGAGCAAACAGGAUUAGAUACCCUGGUAGUCCACACUGUAAACGAUGAAUGCUAGGUGUAGGGGCGAUUGAGCUUCUGUGCCGCAGUUAACACAAUAAGCAUUCCACCUGGGGAGUACGGCCGCAAGGUUGAAACUCAAAGGAAUUGACGGGAGCCCGCACAAGCAGUGGAGUAUGUGGUUUAAUUCGACGCAACGCGAAGAACCUUACCGGAACUUGACAUCCCGAGAAUGCCGAUGUAAUGUUGGCAGUGCCCCUUCGGGGGAAUUCGGUGACAGGUGGUGCAUGGUUGUCGUCAGCUCGUGUCGUGAGAUGUUGGGUUAAGUCCCGCAACGGGCGCAACCCUUACGGUUAAUUACUACGAAAGAGUACCUUAACCGGACUGCCGUUGACAAAACGGAGGAAGGUGGGGACGACGUCAAAUCAUCAUGCCCCUUACGUUCCGGGCUACACACGUACUACAAUGGCGAGAACAAAGGGUCGCAAAGGCGCGAGCCGGAGCCAAUCCCAUAAAAAUCGUCCCAGUUCGGACUGCAGGCUGCAACUCGCCUGCACGAAGUCGGAAUUGCUAGUAAUCGCGGAUCAGCAUGCCGCGGUGAAUACGUUCCC